AGGGCUCUGCCAUGUACGUGGAUAGAGGUAUAAUUUUUAAGACCUAUAACAAUAAUUUGGGACCCCGUCUUUGUUAGUGGCGUAUAUAGUCUCCUGUGAGAAAAAUACAAAGCUAUCAUUGGGAAUACCACCGUAAAAUACGGGUCAUUUAAAAAAACUCACACGGCAUUGCGGUGGAGCC
rnacentral:other from 1 species